rnacentral:rRNA from 1 species
GAUGAACGCUGGCGGCGUGCCUAAUACAUGCAAGUCGAGCGAACGGACGAGAAGCUUGCUUCUCUGAUGUUAGCGGCGGACGGGUGAGUAACACGUGGAUAACCUACCUAUAAGACUGGGAUAACUUCGGGAAACCGGAGCUAAUACCGGAUGAUAUUUUGAACCGCAUGGUUCAAAAGUGAAAGACGGUCUUGCUGUCACUUAUAGAUGGAUCCGCGCUGCAUUAGCUAGUUGGUAAGGUAACGGCUUACCAAGGCAACGAUGCAUAGCCGACCUGAGAGAGUGAUCGGCCACACUGGAGCUGAGACACGGUCCAGACUCCUACGGGAGGCAGCAGUAGGGAAUCUUCCGCAAUGGGCGAAAGCCUGACGGAGCAACGCCGCGUGAGUGAUGAAGGUCUUCGGAGCGAGAAACUCUGUUAUUAGGGAAGAACAUAUGUGUAAGUAACUGUGCACAUCGUGACGGUACCUAAUCAGAAAGCCACGGCUAACUACGUG